AGAGUUGGCUAGGCAAUCGCUGUUAAUCAUUGAAUUAGCAGAGGAAAGUCCGGGCUCCAAAGGGCUAGGUGCCAGAUAACAUCUGGGCGGCGCAAGUCGAUGGAAAGUGCCACAGAAAUUAUACCGCCCAACUUAGUUUGGGUAAGGGUGAAAUGGUGUGGUAAGAGCACACCGCACUGUUAGUAAUAGCAGUGGCAGGGUAAACCCCGCCGGGAGCAAGACCAAAUAGAGAAACGAUGGUGCGGCCCGCACUGUUUCUGGGUAGGUUGCUAGAAGUGUGUGGCGACACACACUCAAGAUGAAUGGUUGCCCAUGACAGAACCCGGCUUAUCGGCCGACUCUUUAA
rnacentral:RNase_P_RNA from 1 species